rnacentral:rRNA from 1 species
CCUACGGGUGACAGCAGUGGGGAAUAUUGCGCAAUGGGCGAAAGCCUGAAGCAGCGAAGCCGCGUGAGGGAUGAAGGUCUUCGGAUCGUAAACCUCUGUCAGCAGGGAAGAACGGUCACUGUGCUAAUCAGCAGUGAAUUGACGGUACCUGCAAAGGAAGCACAGGCUAACUCCGUGCCAGCAGCCGCGGUAAUACGGAGGGUGCGAGCGUUAAUCGGAAUUACUGGGCGUAAAGCGCGCGUAGGCGGUAUGUCAAGUCAAGGGUGAAAUCCCCGCGCUCAACGUGGGAACUGCCUUUGAAACUGGCAACCUUGAGUGUGUGAGAGGUUAGUGGAAUUCCAGGUGUAGGAGUGAAAUCCGUAGAUAUCUGGAGGAACAUCAGUGGCGAAGGCGACUAUCUGGCACAUAACUGACGCUGAGGAGCGAAAGCGUGGGUAGCAAACAGGAUUAGAUACCCCAGUAGUC